CCUGUCUUGCAACUCCUUUUCAGCCCACCAUAUUUUACUUAGGGUGAUCUUGAUCGUGCCCUUAUCCCAUCAUCAUCACCUUCGUAUAUAUACACAUAUCCCUCCUGUGGUGUCACAAAGUGCCAGUCAGACAGACCCAUGGUUAUUUUGGAGCCGGCUACAGCUGCAAACAAGAGGUGGAUUAAGUCCAGAAUGAACAACAGAGAUGUCAUGUGACAACCUGCCAGCCCUGAUGGAGGAAAGGUAAAAAAUUGGGAGGUGGGAACACCUGUGAGUUCUGAUUAAGAGAUGCAGAUGGGAGGGAGGGAGGAGAUACUGCACCUCAGCCAAGCUCACCAACAAACCUCUGCACCAUGGAUGUAUCUGCAUCGGUAUAAGUAAAGAUGCAUGUGUUAAUUCAUGACAACACAAAUAGCAGAGUGUUUUUUUGACUGGACCUAUGUGCAAAGUUUGCUUUAUUUUCAUGCAUGCAUUAAGAAGAAGAAGAAGCAGAACCUGUCUUGCAACUCCUUUUCAGCCCACCAUGUUUUACUCAGCGUGAUCUUGAUAGUGCCCUUAUCCCAUCAUCACCUUCAUAUAUACAUAUCCCUCCUGAUGGAGUAAAGACAGUAGGCGGACCCAGCCAGCCAGGGGAUGCCAUGUCCAGAGAUCUCUAUGAGUUUCAUUAGAGGACGCACACUGCCCCAGGAGGAGUCCUCACAGGCGCACACUCCCAGCCGCUUGGACAUCCACAGGUCGAUGGCGAGGAGCGAGCUGAGCGCUACCCGGAUAAAGGAAGGGUUGAGCCGGAUCCCGUCCUCCUCUGGCGGCCCCUGACCACCGCUCCCGGAGCCCGUGGAGGAGCUGGAGCCGCGGCGCCGAGUGGGGCUCUCCGAGGCUCUGAGUCGGGCGGUGGUCGGGUCGGAGCCCUGCCGCUGGAGGAGCAGCGCCGGAGGAGAGGACCUGUUCAACGGCUUCGUUAACGACAUGAACUCGUAGCGGCCGUUGGUGCUGCCGAGCACCGGGCUGCCCCCGCUGCGACCCGGGUUCUUCGCUUUGGGAGAAGGCAUUUCACUGUUUAAUUCACCGGUGGAGGCAGGUUGUGAUGUAGUUUGACCCGCUGUGGUGAUUUAUCUGCAGUGCUGUGCCGGGUUGUCGCUGCUUUAGUUCAUCUGUUGGACGUUUU